CAAUGAACCAAGGAAUGGCUGAGGAGAUAAGACAAAAGAAUUGGAGGUGGUGAAUAUAUUCAAUCCAUUUUGAUUGAGAAAGACUAAAAGAGAAGUGCAUAUGAGAAUGAGAGCAUAAUGCACACUUCCAAUGCCUUGACAAUGUAUAAUAGAAAUGAUCCAACAACAUGAAUUAGGAAGAGAAGAAAGAUGAGAGGUGAAUGUUUGCACAGAGAGUGACGGAA
rnacentral:lncRNA from 1 species